GCUGUGAUCUGGGAGCAGGUGACCCUGCUUCUAACACAUUGUCAAGUCACUAGUAAGCUGAUGCUACCUCAUAAUGCCUGUAUCAUUCGCUGCACUUCAUCUCAUCACACAGCCAUUUUAUCAUCUCCCUUCACCACAAGAAGAUGAGGCACAUUCUCCACCGAGGAAAAAGACGUUUGAUGUUUAGCUCUGGUCCUCCUGGGACUCUCAUUGCUCUUUAAACCCAGAGUCUUCCUCGAGCCCCGUACCUCCAGACUUCCUCCAGCCUGGCCACAUGCUCCCCAUGAUUCAAUCUUCUGCCUCACUGGCUUUCUUCAUGUUCCACAGAUCCACCUAAUUAUUCUACCCUUUGCUAUUUGUGCCUGUUCUACUGGAGUAUUUCUUUCUGCUUGGAACAAACCUUAGUUUGGUUGGCUUCUACUUGAAUGCAGCGAUCAUGUAAAUUAGAGAAAGAUAAAAAUAACUUCUGAAAUAUUCUUCUCAAGUGAUAUUUAUUCUGGAUGAAGCACUAAGAUCGCUCAUAGAGGUGUAUCACUUUCUGAGGCAGCGUUGCUGGCUCUAGAUGAUGGUUUCACAUGCAUGGAUGAAGAUCACAUGGAAGUCCUUCUCACUUCUGGCCUGACUCAUUAAGAGAAGCAAUUCCAUUUGCAGAUGGGAAGGGGGAAAACAAGGUGACCAUGAUGAAUUUCAACAACCAGGGCACCAGGAGAAAGUUUGAAAGACAGUGCAAAUGUCCAGGAGCAGCAUUCCCGGCUGUUUGAUCAUGAGUUACACAUCUUUCCUAGUGACGGUGGAUAUCUUUUUGCUGUGGACCAAAUCAAAAUGACACUUCGAAAACAUUUUUAAAAGCUUCUUUAAAAACUACACUCUGAAUAGUUUAUCUGGAAUAAAAUAAUGAUCUUUUGGAGAAGAGAAAUCCAGACACAAAUAACACAAUACUACUUUCAGCCUAAUUUUACCUAAGACUCUGAGGAA